CUCUGCACUCAGGCACUCAGAGAAGGGCUAGUCUCUGAGCUAAAGUGAGAACAAGACAAAUUUCACCUAGAAGACUUUCUAUCAUGCUCUGUCCUGGCCUGCUGUGGGCACUCAUGGUCUCCUUUAGCUUCAGAUUCAGCAUGACCGAGAGAGUAACCCAAGCACAGACUACAGUGACACGGCGGGAAGGAGAAGCUGUGACAAUGGACUGCACCUAUGAAACCACAUUGAGUUAUUAUCAUUUAUACUGGUACAAACAGCCUCCCAGUGGAGAGAUGGUCUUCCUUAUUUAUCAGGUCUCUUCUAGAACAAAUGCAAAGCGGGAUCGGUACUCUGUGAACUUUCAAAAGACAAAAACAAUCAUCAGCCUCACCAUCUCUUCCUUGCAACUGGCAGACUCAGCGAAGUACUUCUGUGCUCUUCGGCAUACCCAAACAAUGAGUCGUUAA